AUAAAACGCUCCACGUGUGGAGCUUUGUAUGUACCAUUAUGAAUAAGCAUCGGCUAACUCCGUGCCAGCAGCCGCGGUAAUACGGAGGAUGCGAGCGUUAUCCGGAUUUAUUGGGUUAAAGGAGCGUAGGUGGAUUGAUAAGUCAGCCUGUGAAAAGUUUGCGGCUCAACCGUAAAAUUGCAGUUGAUACUGUCAGUCUUGAGUACAGUAGAGGUUAGCGGAAUUCGUGGUGUAGCGGUGAAAUGCUUAGAUAUCACGAAGAACUCCAAUUGCGAAGGCAGCUGACUAGACUGUAACUGACACUGAGGCUCGAAAGUGUGGGUAUCAAACAGGAUUAGAUACCCUGGUAGUCCACACAGUAAACGAUGAAUACUCGCUGUUUGCGAUAUACAGUAAGCGGCCAAGCGAAAGCGUUAAGUAUUCCACCUGGGGAGUACGCCGGCAACGGUGAAACUCAAAGGAAUUGACGGGGGCCCGCACAAGCGGAGGAACAUGUGGUUUAAUUCGAUGAUACGCGAGGAACCUUACCCGGGCUUAAAUUGCAAAUGAAUACUCUGGAAACAGGGUAGCCGCAAGGCAUUUGUGAAGGUGCUGCAUGGUUGUCGUCAGCUCGUGCCGUGAGGUGUCGGCUUAAGUGCCAUAACGAGCGCAACCCUCAUCUUUAGUUACUAACAGGUCAUGCUGAGGACUCUAAAGAGACUGCCGUCGUAAGAUGUGAGGAAGGUGGGGAUGACGUCAAAUCAGCACGGCCCUUACGUCCGGGGCUACACACGUGUUACAAUGGGAGGUACAACAGGCAGCUACACGGCGACGUGAUGCUAAUCCCCAAAACCUCUCUCAGUUCGGAUUGGAGUCUGCAACUCGACUCCAUGAAGCUGGAUUCGCUAGUAAUCGCGCAUCAGCCACGGCGCGGUGAAUACGUUCCCGGGCCUUGCACACACCGCCCGU
rnacentral:rRNA from 1 species